rnacentral:rRNA from 1 species
UNNGGAAUUACUGGGCGUAAAGGGCGUNUAGGCGGUCGGUCAAGUCAGUCGUGAAAGUCCUUGGCUAAACUGAGGAAAGUCGACCGAUACUGAUCGGCUAGAGGGACGUAGAGGCAAGCGGAACUCUCGGAGUAGCGGUGAAAUGCGUAGAGACCGAGAGGUACCCCGAUGGUGAAGACAGCUUACUGGGCGUCUCCUGACGCUGAAGCGNUAAGGCCAGGGGAGCGAAGGGGAUUAGAUACCCCCGUAGUCCUGGCUUCAAACUAUGUGGGCUUGGUGUCGGCUCCCGAUAGAGAGUCGUUGCCGGAGCUAACGUGUUAAGCCCACCGCCUGGGGAUUACGUCCGCAAGGAUGAAACUCAAGGGAAUUGACGGGGGCCCACACAACCGGUGGAGCACGUGGUUUAAUUCGAUGAUAAGCGAAGAACCUUACCAGGGCUUGACCUAGCGGUGGUAGGAUCCUGAAAAGGAAACGAACCGAAGCUUUGCUUCGGUAGCCGUGGCAGGUAUUGCAUGGCUGUCGUCAGCUCGUGUCGUGGGACGUUGGGUUAAGUCCCGUAACGAGCGCAGCCCCUGCCCUUAAUUGCCAGCGGGUAAUGCCGGGGACUAUAAGGGGACUGCCGGAGAAUAUCCGGAGGAAGGAGGGGAUGACGUCAAGUCAUUAUGAUCCUUAUGCUCUGGGCGACACACGUGCUACAAUGGGUACUACAGUGAGGAGCAAGUCCGCAAGGACCAGCAAAUCUCAAAAAGGUGCCCUCAGUGCGGAUUGGGGUCUGCAACUCGACCCCAUGAAGAUGGAAUCGGUAGUAAUCGCGGGUCAGCCAUACCGCGGUGAAUACGUACUUGGGCCUUGUACACACCGCCCGU